rnacentral:rRNA from 1 species
UGGGGAAUAUUGCACAAUGGGCGAAAGCCUGAUGCAGCGACGCCGCGUGAGGGAUGACGGCCUUCGGGUUGUAAACCUCUUUCAGCAGGGAAGAAGCCACAAGUGACGGUACCUGCAGAAGAAGCGCCGGCUAACUACGUGCCAGCAGCCGCGGUAAUACGUAGGGCGCAAGCGUUGUCCGGAAUUAUUGGGCGUAAAGAGCUCGUAGGCGGUUUGUCGCGUCUGCUGUGAAAGCCCGGGGCUUAACCCCGGGUGUGCAGUGGGUACGGGCAGAGUAGAGUGCAGUAGGGGAGACUGGAAUUCCUGGUGUAGCGGUGGAAUGCGCAGAUAUCAGGAGGAACACCGAUGGCGAAGGCAGGUCUCUGGGCUGUUACUGACGCUGAGGAGCGAAAGCAUGGGGAGCGAACA